rnacentral:rRNA from 1 species
GACGAACGCUGGCGGCGUGCUUAACACAUGCAAGUCGAACGCUGAAGCUUGGUGCUUGCCCUGGGUGGCUGAGUGGCGAACGGGUGAGUAAUACGUGAGUAACCUGCCCUUGACUCUGGGAUAAGCCUGGGAAACUGGGUCUAAUACUGGAUACGACAUGUCACCGCAUGGUGGCGUGUGGAAAGGGUUUUACUGGUUUUGGAUGGGCUCACGGCCUAUCAGCUUGUUGGUGGGGUAAUGGCUCACCAAGGCGACGACGGGUAGCCGGCCUGAGAGGGUGACCGGCCACACUGGGACUGAGACACGGCCCAGACUCCUACGGGAGGCAGCAGUGGGGAAUAUUGCACAAUGGGCGAAAGCCUGAUGCAGCGACGCCGCGUGGGGGAUGACGGCCUUCGGGUUGUAAACCUCUUUCAGCACGGAAGAAGCGAAAGUGACGGUACGUGCAGAAGAAGCGCCGGCUAACUACGU